GUGCUCCCUUCAGCAGCACAUGUAUUCAAAUUGAAACAAUACAGAGAAGGUUAGCACAGCCUCUGUACAAAGGACAGGAGGCACAUGAGAGGAUGCUUGUCAUCCUU
ensembl:snRNA U6 U6 spliceosomal RNA